AUUGAACGCUGGCGGAAUGCUUUACACAUGCAAGUCGAACGGCAGCACGGGGCAACCUGGUGGCGAGUGGCGAACGGGUGAGUAAUACAUCGGAACGUGCCCAAUCGUGGGGGGAUAACGUAGCGAAAGUUACGCUAAUACCGCAUACGAUCUACGGAUGAAAGCGGGGGAUCGCAAGACCUCGCGCGAAUGGAGCGGCCGAUGUCAGAUUAGGUAGUUGGUGGGGUAAAGGCUCACCAAGCCGACGAUCUGUAGCUGGUCUGAGAGGACGACCAGCCACACUGGGACUGAGACACGGCCCAGACUCCUACGGGAGGCAGCAGUGGGGAAUUUUGGACAAUGGGCGCAAGCCUGAUCCAGCCAUUCCGCGUGCAGGAUGAAGGCCUUCGGGUUGUAAACUGCUUUUGUACGGUAACGAAACGGUUACUCGUCUAAUACAGGGGCUAAGUGACGGUACCGUAAGGAAUAAGAC
rnacentral:rRNA from 1 species